rnacentral:rRNA from 1 species
UACGUAGGGGGCAAGCGUUGUCCGGAUUUAUUGGGCGUAAAGAGCGUGUAGGCGGUUAGGUAGGUCCGUUGUGAAAACUCGAGGCUCAACCUCGAGACGCCGAUGGAAACCAUCUGACUAGAGUCCGGAAGAGGAGAGUGGAAUUCCUGGUGUAGCGGUGGAAUGCGCAGAUAUCGGAAGGAACACCAGUGGCGAAAGCGGCUUCCUGGUCCAGCACCGACGUUCAGGCACGAAAGCGUGGGGAGCAAACAGG